GGAUAAGUGGUCGAGUGGUCUAAGGCUAUAGUUUUGAAAGCUAUUGUAUUUUUAAAUACCGUGGGUUCGAAUCCCGCCUUCUCCU
rnacentral:tRNA from 1 species